GAUGGACGCUGGCGGCGUGCCUAAUACAUGCAAGUCGAGCGAACAGACGAGGAGCUUGCUCCUCUGACGUUAGCGGCGGACGGGUGAGUAACACGUGGAUAACCUACCUAUAAGACUGGGAUAACUUCGGGAAACCGGAGCUAAUACCGGAUAAUAUAUUGAACCGCAUGGUUCAAUAGUGAAAGACGGUUUUGCUGUCACUUAUAGAUGGAUCCGCGCCGCAUUAGCUAGUUGGUAAGGUAACGGCUUACCAAGGCAACGAUGCGUAGCCGACCUGAGAGGGUGAUCGACCACACUGGGACUGAGACACGGUCCAGACUCCUACGGGAGGCAGCAGUAGGGAAUCUUCCGCGAUGGGCGAAAGCCUGACGGAGCAACGCCGCGUGAGUGAUGAAGGUCUUCGGAUCGUAAAACUCUGUUAGGAGGGAAGAACAAAUGUGUAAGUAACUAUGCACGUCUUGACGGUACCUAAUCAGAAAGCCACGGCUAACUACGUG
rnacentral:rRNA from 1 species